CGGACUUCCGAUCCAUUUCGUAUACACAGACUGGACGGAAGCGACAAUCUCACUUUGUGUAACAACACACACGUAUCGACACAUAUUCCGGGGUGCCCUUUGGGGUCGGUAAUAUGGGAUACGUGGAGGCAUAACC
rnacentral:sRNA from 9 species